AAAGCACUCUAGCUAAACUCUCUUUAUAUAUAUAUAAAAUAUAAAAUUUUAUACUGUUUUUUUUGCAUUUAGCCUCUUCAGAAAAAUUUUUUUUUUUUUUACAAAUAAUCACAUAAAAUUUAUAUUUACAAGAUUGAUCCUAUACCCACCGCGUAAGUGCCACGCAGACACCACGUGUGCGUGAGAGUAUAGAUUAAAUUAAACACGGUAAACCAUCCACCAUGUUUGAACAGGAUGAAUAGUUCACCGUAUUUAUUAUAUAUAUUAUGUUUAUUUUAUUAUACACUUUGUAAGGUGUAUAUAUAAGUAUAAUUAAGCUGAGUAAAAUGAAUUAUUCACUUAAACACGGUGAAUGUUCACUGUGUUAAACUUAAUCUAUACCAUUUUUCACGCUUACAUGACGCUCGUGUGACGAAAAUAGAAUCAAUCUUGCAAAUAUAAUUUUUGUGAAACUAAUUGUGAUUUUUUUUAUUUUUCCGAGGGGGACUAAAUUUAAAU
rnacentral:lncRNA from 1 species